GUGAGAACAGGCACUAUCCUGGCACUUUGUGACUUGCAGACAUGUUUACCUCUAAUCUUUUCAAGUGGUUUUUUCCUACACAACCGUGCUGGUCAGCACUCAGCUGAAGACUCAGGGGAACCCUCUACCGAUCUCUGUCUCCCAGAACUCUCUCUUUGUGCAGCUGCCUCCUCUCCAGUACUAUCUCCUGCGAAUUCUAGCUGUCUUUGUCUUCCCAGAGUCUCAGUUCUUUCUCCUCAACUCGGGGAACCUGCAGGGCUCUGCCUGGGUUUCCCCUGCCUGUACUACAUUCUGCAUUAAGCCUUUGAGCUUCUGAUUGGAGGCAUUGAAGUCGGCCUGUCCCACUUCCCCUUCUUUGCCUGCCUCUCGUCGGAAUUCCAGCUGGUCAGCUCCAUCUUGGGCUUCUGCUACUCUGAUCUGGUUUGCUGUCACCAUUAUUCAAGUUUCACAGUGUCCCCACGGGCAGAUGGAGUCUCUCAAGCUGGAGUGCAGUGGCGUGAUCUCGGCUCACUGCAACCUCUGCCUCCCGGGUUCAAGUGAUUCCUCCAGCUCAGCCUCCCAAGUAGCUGGGAUUACAGGAUUCCAUAUCAGGAUACCACAGGACACUGAGUCCUUAGGUUCUUCCCGGCUGUGAUCGUUUCUCAGGCCUACAUUGUUUUUGAUGACCUUGAUGGUUUUAGGGGGUACUAGUCAGGUGUUUUUGGGAACUGUUUCUCAGCUGAGGUUUGUCUGAUGUAGUGGGAUUAUUAGUUUUGGGAGGGAACAUGUCAAGGUAAAAUGCCAUUCUCAUCCUGUCGUAUGAUACACACUUUCAACUUGACUGAUCACUGCUCACACUGGCCUUGAUCACCUGGCUGAGACAGUGUUUGUUAGGUUUCUCCAACGUGAAGUUACUCUUUUUCCUCCUUUGCUAUACUGAGUUCUUGGUAGGAUGUCAUUAUGUGAAGCCCACAGUUUAGAAGUGGGGAGUGAUGCUCUGCUUCCUGGAGUGUCUGAUCUCCUUUUGAAAUGAUUUUUCAUGCUGAACACAGAGUAAUUAAAGUAAGAAAAAUACGGAUAUUGAAUGACUAGUUGCAAGAAGUCCAUUAUGACAUCUGACAUGAAAAAUUAUCUAUCUACCUGUCUAUUAAACGAUUAUAUCUGUGUAUACAAACAUUAAAUACUAAGCUAUGCAGUAUCGUCUUUACUGAAGGUAAAGGUCAUUAGAUUAUAUGCCAUGCAGUGAACUGAGAAAUAUCUCAUUUUUCAGACCUAAAUCCCAUCAUUUCUUCAGAAU
rnacentral:lncRNA from 1 species